UACAGAGGUCUCAAGCGUUGUUCGGAUUCAUUGGGCGUAAAGGGUUCGUAGGCGGUGCGGCAAGUUGGGAGUGAAAUCUCUGGGCUUAACCCAGAGGCUGCUUCCAAAACUGCUGUGCUUGAGUGUGGGAGAGGCGCGUGGAAUUGCAGGUGUAGCGGUGAAAUGCGUAGAUAUCAGGAGGAACACCUGUGGUGUAGACAGCUUACUGGACCACUUCUGACGCUGAGACACGAAAGCGUGGGUAGCAAACAGG
rnacentral:rRNA from 1 species